UACGAAGGGGGCUAGCGUUGUUCGGAAUCAUUGGGCGUAAAGGGUGCGUAGGUGGCAUGGUAAGUCGGAUGUGAAAUCCCGGGGCUCAACCCCGGAACUGCGUUCGAUACUGCUGCGCUAGAGUACUGGAGAGGAGAUUGGAAUUUACGGUGUAGCAGUGAAAUGCGUAGAUAUCGUAAGGAAGACCAGUGGCGAAGGCGGAUCUCUGGACAGUUACUGACACUGAGGCACGAAGGCCAGGGGAGCAAACGGG
rnacentral:rRNA from 1 species